rnacentral:ncRNA from 1 species
CAUCGUGAGGUGGAAUCUGAAGUAAGCCUGAAGCAAAUUCUCGGUCUGACGAACAGAACCGCAUAUAAGGCAUAUACAGGACGGACGAGUCUGCAAGAUAAGACAAAGUCCCAUACUGCCUGAAUUCUGUGAUGUAAAUGCGGCAGAUAUAUGAGAGGAAGGUUGCU